rnacentral:sRNA from 12 species
UGACCACUAUUAAUUUAGGAAUGCCCAGACGGACAGGCGGGUCAGUUGCCGG